rnacentral:rRNA from 1 species
GACGAACGCUGGCGGCGUGCUUAACACAUGCAAGUCGAACGGAAAGGCCCUGCUUUUGUGGGGUGCUCGAGUGGCGAACGGGUAAGUAACACGUGAGUAACCUGCCCUUGACUUUGGGAUAACUUCAGGAAACUGGGGCUAAUACCGGAUAGGAGCUCCUGCUGCAUGGUGGGGGUUGGAAAGUUUCGGCGGUUGGGGAUGGACUCGCGGCUUAUCAGCUUGUUGGUGGGGUAGUGGCUUACCAAGGCUUUGACGGGUAGCCGGCCUGAGAGGGUGACCGGCCACAUUGGUACUGAGAGAGGGCCCAGACGCCUACGGGAGGCAGCAGGGGGGAAUAUUGCACAAUGGGCGGAAGCCUGAUGCAGAAACGCCGCGUGCGGGAUGACGGCCUUCGGGUUGUAAACCGCUUUCGCCUGUGACGAAGCGUGAGUGACGGUAAUGGGUAAAGAAGCACCGGCUAACUACGUG